rnacentral:rRNA from 1 species
GGGUCAGUAGGUCGGUCGUGCCACUGGUAUGAACUGGUUUCACUGAUUCCUCCCUCUUGUAGAACCGUGAUGCCAUUAAUUUGGUGUUGCGGGGAAACAGGACUGUUACUUUGAAAAAUUAGAGUGUUUAAAGCAAGCUAACGCUUGAAUACAUUAGCAUGGAAUAAUGAAAUAGGACGUCUGCCUUAUUUUGUUGGUUUCUAGGAUGGACGUAAUGAUUAA